ACUCCUACGGGAGGCAGCAGUGGGGAAUAUUGCACAAUGGGCGCAAGCCUGAUGCAGCCAUGCCGCGUGUGUGAAGAAGGCCUUCGGGUUGUAAAGCACUUUCAGUCGUGAGGAAGGUGGUAGUGUUAAUAGCACUAUCAUUUGACGUUAGCGACAGAAGAAGCACCGGCUAACUCCGUGCCAGCAGCCGCGGUAAUACGGAGGGUGCGAGCGUUAAUCGGAAUUACUGGGCGUAAAGCGCAUGCAGGUGGUUUGUUAAGUCAGAUGUGAAAGCCCGGGGCUCAACCUCGGAAUUGCAUUUGAAACUGGCAGACUAGAGUACUGUAGAGGGGGGUAGAAUUUCAGGUGUAGCGGUGAAAUGCGUAGAGAUCUGAAGGAAUACCGGUGGCGAAGGCGGCCCCCUGGACAGAUACUGACACUCAGAUGCGAAAGCGUGGGGAGCAAACAGGAUUAGAUACCCUGGUAGGAUAGCG
rnacentral:rRNA from 1 species